GCCCGGGUAGCUCAGUGGUAGAGCGCACGGCUGUUAACCGUGUGGUCAAGGGUUCGAAUCCCUUCCCGGGCG
rnacentral:tRNA from 2 species